AGAGUUUGAUCAUGGCUCAGGAUGAACGCUAGCGGCAGGCUUAAUACAUGCAAGUCGGGGGGCAGCGGGGGUAGCAAUACCUGCCGGCGACCGGCAAACGGGUGCGGAACACGUACAGAACCUUCCUUUAAGUGGGGGAUAGCCCGGAGAAAUCCGGAUUAAUACCCCAUAGCAUUAUGAGACGGCAUCGUUUUAUAAUUAAAGAUUAAUUGCUUAAAGAUGGCUGUGCGUCUGAUUAGGUAGUUGGUGCGGGUAACGGCCCACCAAGCCUUCGAUCAGUAACUGGUGUGAGAGCACGACCAGUCACACGGGCACUGAGACACGGGCCCGACUCCUACGGGAGGCAGCAGUAAGGAAUAUUGGUCAAUGGACGCAAGUCUGAACCAGCCAUGCCGCGUGAAGGAUGAAGGUCCUCUGGAUUGUAAACUUCUUUUAUAGGGGACGAAACCCGGAUAUUCUUAUCCGAUUGACGGUACCCUAGGAAUAAGCACCGGCUAACUCCGUGCCAGCAGCCGCGGUAAUACGGAGGGUGCAAGCGUUAUCCGGAUUCACUGGGUUUAAAGGGUGCGUAGGUGGGUCUGUAAGUCAGUGGUGAAAUCUCCGGGCUCAACCCGGAAACUGCCAUUGAUACUAUAGGUCUUGAAUUUUCCGGAGGUAAGCGGAAUAUGUCUGUAGCGGUGAAAUGCUUAGAUAUGACAUAGAACACCGAUUGCGAAGGCAGCUUACUACAGGGACAUUGACACUGAGGCACGAAAGCGUGGGGAUCAAACGGAUUAGAUACCCNNGUAGUCC
rnacentral:rRNA from 1 species